UACGGGGGGGGUAAGCGUUGUUCGGAAUUACUGGGCGUAAAGGGCUCGUAGGCGGCCAACUAAGUCAUACGUGAAAUCCCUCAGCUUAACUGGGGAACUGCGUGUGAUACUGGAUGGCUUGGAUUUGGGAGAGGGAUGCGGAAUUCCUGGUGUAGCGGUGAAAUGCGCAGAUAUCAGGAGGAACACCGGUGGCGAAGGCGGGUCUCUGGGCCGAUACUGACGCUGAGGAGCGAAAGCGUGGGGAGCGAACAGG
rnacentral:rRNA from 1 species